CGCACGCACGCACGCGCACGCACGCACACGAAGCCCGCCACACGCACCAGGACUGCUCUGCAAGGGGACUCACUGCUGGGGAUGGCUGGGAGCACACACUACUAGCGGAUGCUGCCUGUCCAUCAGUCAGUUGCUGGUCACUUGGUCAGUUAGUGGGCAGGAGUCAGAGAGGAGAGAGCCUCUGAGGUGGCCAGAGCCCAGGCUGUGCAGUGAAACCCACUGUAAUCCCUAACCUUCCGCCUCUGCCCACUUCCUUCCCCAUAGACCCAGGGAAGCCUUCAGGUGCAGGAGACCCCCUCAAAGGGCUUUGAAGACCACGGUACUGUUGCCCCCACACUGGCCCCUCCCCCAACCCUGAGGACAGGGUCCAGGGCUCCUCCUGCUCCAUGGCCUCCCCGAGAGGCUUGCUGUUGCUGUUGCUACUGGGCCAACCCCGCGCCUCCUGCAAACCCAGGGUGACGCAUCUGGCUCCCACCCCGCCCCCGACCGGUCUGAGCAGCCUCGGGUGCAGAGCUGCCCGGACUUGCCCGUCCCUCCCUCCCGGGCUCUCAACCCACGGCCCGGAAGUGGAUCCCUCUCCCACGCCCACAACCUCCCCCUCGACUGGCUGGACACGGCUGGAUAAACCAAAAUAAUUCCUCCUUGGCAGGCAGCCGGCAGGGGGAGGGGGACUCGCAUUCCAAACCCUUGUUUUUCUCACUAACUUCCCUCCCCUCCUGGGGUGAGGAGCCCCUGGCCCCACCUCCCCCCACACCAUAGACUGAGGCAGGACCCCAGUAGGGAUAGUGGGAAGUGGGAGAGGAUGGGGGCUCAGAUCUGCUGGAGCCCACCUACUUGUCCCUCAGUCUCCUCCAGGAAUUGGGAAGCACCACGCGGAGGGCUGGCACCACAAAGCCCUGUACACCAGCACGUGAACCUGACCUACGAGCUAUGGCUCCCUGACCUCCAGGCAGGGCUCACAGCACUGCCAGUGAUCCAGGGAGUCUGAGCAUAGCUUCCCAGGGUGGGUCCCCCUCCAGGCCAUGUGGUCAGGCUGAGAGCCAUCGCUUCAGGGCAGCACAACCUUCUGCUCCCAGCACAGCCAAUCUCCUGAGGGGAGAUUCAGCUUUACAUGUGAGGCAGGAAGUACAGGAGCUAAAGUUAAACAUGGAAGGAGGUUCCCCAGGGAGGAAGCAGGUCCGGUGGGCCCUCCCCCAGGCCCCAGGACAUCAGCUUUGGGGCCCAGCCUCACCCCCAGUCCUGAGCCCCCUGCUCACAGACCAUGGUGUACACAGACCCCUUUCUAUCUUUUCAAGGAACUGGGGAGCGGAGCCAGAGUUCCAACGUGGCAGGAAGCUCUGGAGCUCCUGAGCUCAGAGACCCCCGGAUGGGGAGGAAGGACCCCCAAAUCUGCCAAACAACCUGUCCUCGAAAGGGGCAGGAAAGGUUCACUGCACGGAGGGCUUCCUGAAGGAAGAGGCAUUUGGAGGUGCAGGACCAGCAGGAUCUCCAGCUUGCCUCUUCCUCAAAAUGGAUUUAUGGCCUGUCUCAGUCCUGCUCUGCUGUAACUGUGGUCACUUCCUAGGACCCUGACCAGACUGUCCUGCCCAAAAGCCCACUCACAUCCCUCACCUCUCCUUAUUACUGAAGUGGGAUGGGCUACCUUGGCUGCCCCGAACCCUGGCAGACUCCUACCUCCAGUCUCAAUUCAGAGAGUCUUUAGUAGGGUGUGAGGAGAUGUGGACAGUGACAGCCAGAGGGACCCCCUCCCCUGGCCCUGCCUCACGGCCCCUCCUCUCAAGGCAUGCAGGGGCCAGAUAGUCCCCACUGUCUGGCCUCCCCUUGGCCUCAUCCCUCAGAUGAAGUGUCAUGGAUUGAAUUACAACCCCCCCAAAAAUGUAUGUAUCAAUUUGGUUAGGCCAUGAUUCCCAGUAUUGUGUGGUUGUCUUCCAUUUUGUGAUUGUAAUUUUAUGUUGAGAGGAUUAGGGUGGGAUUGUAACACCAUCCUUACUCAGGUCACCUCCCUGACUCAAUGUAAAGGGAGUUCCCCUGGGGUGUGGCCUGUACCAGCUUUUCUCUCUCAAGAGAUAAAAUGGAAGCAAGCAGAGAGUUGGGGACCUCAUACCACCAAGAAAGCUGCACCAGGAGCAGAGUGCAUCCUUUGGACCCAGGGUCCGUGUGCCUGAGAAGCUCCUCGACCACGGGAAGAUUGAGGACAAGGACCUUCCUCCAGAGCCAACACAGAGAGAAAGCCUUCCCCUGGAGCUGACACCCUGAAUUUGGACUCCUAACCUACUUUACUGUGAGGCAAUAAAUUUCUCUUGUUACAGCCA